rnacentral:lncRNA from 1 species
GGGUGAGACUUCUCCUUUUUUUCAAUGUCCUGUACAAAGAAUAUAAAGUAGUGCAACAAAGAGGGUUAUAUUACACGAAUAGCAAUAUAUUGCACUAUUCCAAAAGUAUCGAUGUAAUAUCAACUUACACGUUUAGUUACACGAGCCGUUUUACUGUCCACCGCCUCCGCCGCAGCUGCCGAAGUCGGUGCCGCCGCCACCACCUGUACCUUCGCGGCUGCCUCCUUCGCAGCCUCAUCCGCCGCCUUCGCCUCCUCCUUCUCCUCCGCCGCCUUCGCCUCCUCCUUUACGGCCGGCGCCGUCGCCUCCUCCUUCUCCGCCGCCGCAGUCGCCUCCUCUUUCUCCUCCGCCGCCGUGGCCUCCUCCUUCUCCUCCGCCGCCGUCNAAUUUCUUUAUAACAAAGGUAAUGAGAAUUACAUAUGUACACCAAUUCGUCUUAGUGUGAAAAAAAUGACAGUACAAAUAAAAGAACUGUAACUCGAAUCAGCCUUGAAUUAUUACGAGUAAAAAAGACGCAAGAAUUCUGCUGCUAUCUCGCCGCGUCUCCUCGUCAUAUUCUUCUGGGAGAAGUCCAAGUUCCACCCCUUCUACAAGUAUUCCUCGUAUGCUAACAGGAAGAUUGCGCAGUCAUUGGACUGAUCUUGAAUCGGGAUGUCUUCCAUAUUGAUCUUCUCCCAGUCGACGGGACGGGUACCGCGGCGCCCAAACAAAUCGAAAAAUUUUUGUUGCAAAUAAUUUCCUAUGAACUUACACUGCAUAGAAAUCAUUGCACUAAUUAGAAAUAUAAUGGGGUAAUGCUGGUACAAUUUCAAAGUAUUAGGAAACACUUACUGCUUUUUCAAACCCCACGUUGUAUUUAGGGUUUUUAAUGGACGAUAAGUGGAGGUACUUCCCGUCUUGGAGAUCAACAGCCAGCAAAUGCCAGUGUUGGAAGUCGAAGAGCGGGAUGAACCAGUACUUCGCCUCACUGAUCCUCUCCUCGGUGAUGUCGUCCAAAAAUAUCUCGGGGCUCAUUGCAGUCCCUAGGGUCUUAUAAAGGAAUGUCGUGGAGUAUAUGCACCUGUGGCCUUCCACCUCCUUGAGUAAAUUCUGGUAGCCGUCAAUAACAUCGGAGCUGACGAAGGCCAUAUGACUUGUUAGGUCAACCAAGUCCUUCCUCCCGACGUCAAUACCUUUCGAAGCCACUACUAAUGCGGAGGGGGUGGUGCUUGUUAGGAAUUUUUCAAUUCGCUCCUGAUCCUCCUUCGGCAACUCGCCCUUGCCGUAAUACUUUAAAUCCAGUGGCGGUGAUGAUUUUGCGACAUUCAAUUUGAGUAUUUUGCCCUUUAUAAAUUUUGAUGUUUCAUCCGAGGAGGGGGGGAUGUCGAUGAUUAUUGGAUGCUGUUUAGCAAAAAAUGAAAGAAUCAGAUCGUAAUUACACCAUUGUAGGACAUUCUUACACUAUUAUAAGCUGUAUCGCAUUAAUGAAAUGUAACGUUGCAAUAUUCACGCACCUCUAUAAUGCUGGGUUCUUGCAUGGAAGACUUCGCAAUUUGUGUAGGUGCCUUCGUCGCCGUCGAGAGACGCACCAAGCGUCUCUUCGGGCGAGGCUUGUCCAUUUUUUCAAUGUCCUGUACAAAGAAUUUAAAGUAGUGCAACAAACAAGGUUAUAUUACAGGAAUAGCAAUAUAUUGCAUGAUUUCAAAGGUAUCGAUGUAAUAUCAACUUACACGUUUAGAUGCCCGAGUCGCCUUACUGUGUAUCGAAAUCUCCUUGUCCACCUCCUCCGCCGGAGCUGCCGCCGCCAACACCUUUUCCUUCGCGGCCGCCUCCUUCGCAGCCUCCUCCGCCGCCUUCGCCUUCUCCUUUUCCUCAUCCUCCGCUGGCACUGCAGCAGCCUCCACCUUUUCCUCCGCCACAGCCUCCACUUCCGCCUCUACCGCAACAUUUUCCACCUCAUCUGCCGCUCCCGCCGCUUUCUUUUCAUCCACCUUCGCCACGAAU